UGCAUAUCAAAAAGCGGAGGAAAAGAAACUAACAAGGAUUCCCCUAGUAACGGCGAGUGAAGCGGGAAGAGCUCAAAUUUGAAAUCUGGUAGCCUUCGGUUGCCCGAGUUGUAAUCUAGAGAAGUGUUUUCCGUGCCGGCCCAUGUACAAGUCCCUUGGAACAGGGCGUCAUAGAGGGUGAGAAUCCCGUCCUUGACAUGGACCCCCGGUGCUCUGUGAUACACUUUCAACGAGUCGAGUUGUUUGGGAAUGCAGCUCAAAAUGGGUGGUGAAUUCCAUCUAAAGCUAAAUAUUGGCGAGAGACCGAUAGCGAACAAGUACCGUGAGGGAAAGAUGAAAAGCACUUUGGAAAGAGAGUUAAACAGUACGUGAAAUUGUUGAAAGGGAAACGAUUGAAGUCAGUCAUGCUCUUUGGUAUUUAUAUCAUUGAGUGGGGUCAACAUCAGUUUUGAUCGAUGGAUAAAGGCACUAGGAAGGUAGCACUCUCGGGUGAACUUAUAGCCUAGCGUCAUAUACAUUGAUUGGGACUGAGGAACGCAGCAUGCCUUUAUGGCCGGGAUUCGUCCACGUACAUGCUAGGAGUGACUAUCAACGUG
rnacentral:rRNA from 1 species